rnacentral:rRNA from 1 species
CCUACGGGAGGCAGCAGUGGGGAAUAUUGCACAAUGGGCGCAACCCUGAUGCAGCAACGCCGCGUGAGUGAAGAAGUAUUUCGGUAUGUAAAGCUCUAUCAGCAGGGAAGAAGAAAGACCGUACCUCACUAAGAAGCCCCGGCUAACUACGUGCCAGCAGCCGCGGUACUAAGGAGGGGGCAAGCGUUAUCCGGAUUUACUGGGGGUAAAGGGAGCGUAGACGGGUGUGCAAGUCUGAAGUGAAAGCCCGGGGCUCAACCGCGGUACUGCGUUGGAAACUGUAUAGCUUGAGUACUGGAGAGGCAGGCGGAAUUCGUGGUGUAGCGGUGAAAUGCGUAGAUAUUAGGAGGAACACCAGUGGCGAAGGCGGCCUGCUGGACAGAAACUGACGUUGAGGCUCGAAAGCGUGGGGAGCAAACAGGAUUAGAUACCCGAGUAGUC